rnacentral:tRNA from 1 species
AGAAAUAUGUCUGACAAAAGAGUUACUUUGAUAGAGUAAAUAAUAGA